rnacentral:rRNA from 1 species
UACAGAGGUCUCAAGCGUUUGUUCGGAUUCAUUGGGCGUAAAGGGUGCGUAGGUGGCGCGGUAAGUCGGGUGUGAAAUUUCGGAGCUUAACUCCGAAACUGCAUUCGAUACUGCCGUGCUUGAGGACUGGAGAGGAGACUGGAAUUUACGGUGUAGCAGUGAAAUGCGUAGAUAUCGUAAGGAAGACCAGUGGCGAAGGCGGGUCUCUGGACAGUUCCUGACGCUGAAGCACGAAGGCCCAGGGGAGCAAACGGGG